UGGGCCGAGCUGGGCUAAUUCGCGGUUCUCUUGAUAGAAACCAGGCUUAAGCCUGGGCACUAAAACAAUUAGGGCUUAUUAAAACAAACUUGGCUCAAUUUUUUGUUUGUAUUAUUUUCUCAGCGACCAAACAGAGUACAAGUACAGCGUUUUGAAAAGUAUCGAUUCCAAAAAAUGGGAAGAAAGCAGAAAGUAUGAAGAAAAUGUCACCAUGUGACGUUGAGGCACUGAAGAAAUGCUUGGAGGAAACCAAGGGGGACUAUGUGAAAUGCCAAUCACAUAUUGAAGCAUUCAGGUCUUCCUGUUCUUUGAAGAAAUCGGAUUCAUCUCCACAAUCUGCGCAAAAGGUUUAGAAAUGAAAGUUCUGGAUCAGGAGGGAAUGGAUGAGAAGGAGAAUUGCGGACAGAAGAAAAUAAUGUCUCCCUGUUAGGCACUGAAGAAUUGCUUGGAGGAGAAAAGGGUGACUACUCUAAAAGUCAGCCACAGUUAGAAGCAUUUUGGUCUUCUUCAGAGUUUCCUCCUAAAUUAUACACAAUUGUUAGGCCUGGUGCCACAUGUGAUGUUUAAAAAGCUGUUCACUAGUUGAAUGGAACCCAUCUUUAGGCAUGCUUUUUACUGAAUAAAAUAUAUGUUUGAAUAAUAA